rnacentral:rRNA from 1 species
AUUGAACGCUGCGGCAGGCUUAACACAUGCAAGUCGAGCGAGCGGCGGACGGGUGAGUAAUGCUUAGGAAUCUGCCUAUUAGUGGGGGACAACAUCUCGAAAGGGAUGCUAAUACCGCAUACCAUCAGAUGUGCCCAGAUGGGAUUAGCUAGUUGGUGGGGUAAAGGCCUACCAAGGCGACGAUCUGUAGCGGGUCUGAGAGGAUGAUCCGCCACACUGGGACUGAGACACGGCCCAGACUCCUACGGGAGGCAGCAGUGGGGAAUAUUGGACAAUGGGGGGAACCCUGAUCCAGCCAUGCCGCGUGUGUGAAGAAGGCCUUCGGGUUGUAAAGCACUUUCAGCGGGGAGGCGUUACCCGCAGAAGAAGCACCGGCUAACUCCGUGCCAGCCGCCGCGGUAAUAC